rnacentral:rRNA from 1 species
UCAGUUCAGAUCGUAGGCUGCAACUCGCCUACGUGAAGGCGGAAUCGCUAGUAAUCGCAGGUCAGCAUACUGCGGUGAAUACGUUCCCGGGCCUUGUACACACCGCCCGUCACACCAUGGAAGUUGGCCACGCCCGAAGCCGUUACUCCAACCCUUGUGGAGGAGGACGUCGAAGGUGGGGCUGAUGACUGGGGUGAAGUCGUAACAAGGUAUCCGUACCGGAAGGUGCGGAUGGAUCACCUCCUAA